rnacentral:rRNA from 1 species
ACUACGGGAGGCAGCAGUGAGGAAUAUUGGUCAAUGGGCGAGAGCCUGAACCAGCCAAGUCGCGUGAGGGAAGACGGUCCUACGGAUUGUAAACCUCUUUUGUCAGGGAGCAAGGAGCGCCACGAGUGGUGCGGCGAGAGUACCUGAAGAAAAAGCAUCUGCUAACUCCGUGCCAGCAGCCGCGGUAAUAAGGAGGAUGCGAGCGUUAGCCGGAUUUAUUGGGGUUAAAGGGUGCGCAGGCGGAAGCGGCAAGUCAGCGGUACAAUUGCGGGGCUCAACCUCGUCGAGCCGUUGAAACUGCUCUUCGAGAGUGGGCGAGAAGUAUGCGGAAUGCGGGGGGUAGCGGUGAAAUGCAUAGAUAUCACGCAGAACUCCGAUUGCGAAGGCAGCAUACCGGCGCCCAACUGACACUCAUGCACGAAAGCGUGGGUAUCGAACAGGAUUAGAUACCCCAGUAGUC